CUUUUGAGUUUUAUGAAGGAGGAAUUCUGUUGGAGACAUGACCGACUGGGAGAAGAUAGAUUUCACACAGCUGGUCUAGAUCGAGUGUGGGUGCUGCAGAGUUGGUACUGAGGAGAGCUGAAGAAAAACAACUGAGGCAAAGGAGAUUCCAGUCAAACAGAAGGUUCAUCAUUCUGAACACAGAAGACUGAGUUGAAUUCUGAAUUGUCAUUUACCCUAUGCAUUUCCUUUGAGUCAUAUUUACCAUCUAACAGAAGUUUAUGGAAUUCUAGUUCCCCCUAUCAUCAGAUUUAAAAUAGAGGAAUUACAGAAGUGACAAACUAUUACCCACUGGUGCCCCAUUUAUUACAUCUUAGAAAAGUGCCAAGUCCUGUUUAGUGAGGGUGAGCGGGUGAGAUGUGCUGCACUAACAUCUGUUCAAAGUAUUUACUAACUACACAGUAAAUGUGACCAGCAGCUUGGUGCACUGAAUAGCAUCCCUUGCAAAUCAAAUCAAGAGAGGGACAAAUUCUCAUCAGAAGAGGAAUAUGCCAGCACUAAGUAUCAUCAUGACUUUGCCUUUGGAUGCUCAGGGCCCAGAGUUCACUGCCUGUCAAACUGUGCUUAUAGUAUGAUAGUCAUUGUCAGGACCUGAUACAUUGUUUUUCAUUCCCUGAGCAUUUUACUUCAGUGUAGUAAACCUCAUCAGGACAGAUAAGUAAAGCCCUUCAAGAAAGUAUUUUUAUAUGGGCCAACUCUGUAUUCAAAUUUGUCAUAUGUCCACACAGCACAGAGGAUUGUGUGGGAAGAGGAGUGAAAGCUUGCAAAACGACUAACUUAAUUGGAGCUCCCAUGGGAUGAGAAAAUGUGGACUGGGCUCUCUUGCCUCUCACCUUGGCAACAGGUAGUAUACACAGGGGUGUUGUGAAAUUAUGUUCUUUACCCAUACAGGAAUGCCUAUUAUGUCAGUCCUGUAAGCAGGCAGCAUUGGCUGAGCUUCCAUCUGCCUCCAGAGCUAACCCACUUUAUUCAGAACAAAGAGCUGAAUUAAAAAAAAAAAAGAAGGUGCAUUCUAGUGUGAUAUAGAAAUGUUACAUCAUGUGCUCAAAUAGUAACUAUGUGACCAAAUGCUGUUAUAAAUCAGGGCUUUGUCUAGCAGUGUGUAUUUUCUGAUCCCUCAGUUGGAUUUUAUAAUGCAAAUUCACAAAGUUUUGAUGCACAAUGAACACAGAUAAUCAGUAACCUGUCACAGUCGGCUGCAAAGAGAUUGCUGCUAUGUAGCUCUUGGCUCACUGUUUUUGCAUGCUCCCCUAUCUGUGCAUGUUCCUCACGGUAUCCUUAUUUGUAAGAGAUCCUGCCUGUACUGCAGGAGGAAGUAUCUCACAAGAGAUUUUUUUCUUCUUUCUUCAUGAAAAAAACCACCAAAAUCCAUAUAUUUGUGAAUGGUUACUUGGGGAGUUUGGGCUAAAACAUUAUUUAUAAUACAGAUAUGUACUGGCUGUCUGGAUGGAUUUUGAAAGAGAGAAGUUGAAAAAAAAAAAGUAAUUUGUAAUCCUUGCUGAACGGUAAGCAGAGUCAGGCAGUUUCCUACUCUUUGGAACUUAAAAAAAUUUCUUCCUAAUAAAGAGUAAUGCAAAGUUUCUGACAUGGAAAAAUUAGACACAGCAGGGAAGCAAAACUAGCAAAAGAGGUCGGAGGUCUGCAAAAUAAGGCAGCAAGGCUGCUAACCAGCUAAAAGAAAGAAAAGUUAGCAAGAUUUUAAAUAAUUAAUUGAAUAUGUGUGAAAGCAGUGGUGGGAGAAUGUAUUCUAGUAUAGGAAUAAGCAGGGAUUGGAGGACUACAUGGGAUGGAAACAGCAGGGUAUAACCAACUAAUUUAAACCUCCAUGUGUUGGAGGGAAGGUACCAGGUAAGGCGGUCAUGAAUACCUCAUACGGGUUUGCAGAUCUCUGCCCUGAUGGAAAACUGGAGCAGCCUUUCAUGGUAGGGGCUACAAGCGAAGAUAAAUGCUAAGGGGAGAAGGAAACAAAGUAAUGAUUCUACGCCAGAGCUAGUCUUCAUUUUUCUGCUUUUCCAUCUUUUCAGAUUCUGUUGCUUUUUGUCUCAUUUCAUAUGCUAAAUAGCCUGGGGACAGUGAGGUGCAGAACUUCUAGCGUACUCUAAUGCACUCUGUAACAUGUGGCCACUAAUUCUCUGUUCAGCCUCAUUCCAUACUUGUAUCACUGUAAGCUACCAUUAAAAUAGGAAACAUCCUUUGCUCCCAUGUCCUUUCAUUACUUUGGUUUUUUAUAGGCCUAAAGUAUGGGAGUUCCCAGCUCUGCACCAUGCUUUCUAGGAUGUCAGCUCAUGUGAUCAUUAAGCAUCAGAAUUUUUUGCUAUUCUGAAGUAAGUGCCUCUCAACAAGGCAAAAAGCACCCUCUGUCCCUCAAGUGAAACUUUAUGAAUGCCAGAACAUACUUGCAUGUCUUGCAAUGCUCUAUUUUGGCUUGCUGUGUAUUUCUCACUUGAGAUAAUGCUGCAAAUGUCUGUGAUGGAAAUAAAAGCCUCUACAUUUCUCUGCACUAAUUAUUGGCCUGCAAAUUGAAGAAAAAUGCUAUGAAGGGAGUAGCUGCUGGUAUUUUUAUGCUAACUUUUUUAUCCUUGAUAUCUUACUUAGUUGCCAGAUGCAAUGAUAUUAACCCUCGAGCCUCUGCUACAUGGAAAACUGCAGCAUUGGUGCUUUUGGAUUAUAAUUUGCCUUUUCUCUACAAUGUCUAAAUUAUUAGGGUCUUCAGUUGCACAGGAAACCCACACAUAAACAUUUUGGUGAAACCAUUUUCUCAGAGAACAUGUACAUUCGUGAACAUUGAUCAUGAAGAAUUGUUUACAGGAUUGUACUAGCUUGGACAAGGUUUCACUGUGUUCCCCUGGUUACUUCAGAAGAGCCCCAAACCUGCUACUUUCUGAGUGAUCUAGCUGACAUCUGAGGAACUAGAGCUUAAGUAACCUUUGCUUUGCCAGGUUUCAUUCAAACUUGAACGUCACUCUCCCUCAUCUGCAAAUUUGGAUUUCUAUACUCAAUAGUUUAUUUAGGUUGAACAACUCCCCCAAAAGAAGAUGACAGUGUACAGGCCUGAUUUCCACAUGGUGUUUUGGAUGUGCCUCAGGGCUAC